UACAGAGGUCUCAAGCGUUGUUCGGAUUCAUUGGGCGUAAAGAGCUCGUAGGCGGCUCGUUGCGUCAACCGUGAAAACCCGGGGCUUAACUUCGGGCUUGCGGUUGAUACGGGCGGGCUGGAGUUCGGUAGGGGAGACUGGAAUUCCUGGUGUAGCAGUGAAAUGCGCAGAUAUCAGGAGGAACACCGGUGGCGAAGGCGGGUCUCUGGGCCGAUACUGACGCUGAGGAGCGAAAGCGUGGGGAGCGAACAGG
rnacentral:rRNA from 1 species